UGUUUAACAGCAUAGACAGCUGGAAGGUUGGCUUAGAGGCAGCCAUCCUUUAAAGAGUUCGUAACAGAUCACCAGUCAAGUUCUUGAGCCUAGAAAAUGGACGGGACUAAGUUGUUCACCGAUACUUUGGGCCACCGAAAGGUGAUGCGGUAGAGAGGCGUCGUGCGCGGGUGGAAGUGGGGCCGUGAGGUCCUGUGGACCGCGUUCGAAUGAUAAUCAUGGAAAGAGUAGUAGCGUAGAUGGGUGAGAAUCCCAUCCGCCGGAGGGGCUAGGGUUCCUCGACGAUGUUCAUCAGUCGAGGGUUAGUCGGUCCUAAGGUUCCCCCUAACAGGAGGAAUCGAAAGGGAAGCAGGUUAAAAUUCCUGCACCAAUUCAUAUUUUGUCCAGUUCCUGACACAUCGGGUCUUGUGGAGCACUCUUGUCGGAGUGUUGCCUUAAACAAUAAAUUUGUGGAGUACCGUAAUGGUGAGAAGCAAACUAAGUUUUUGGGAGGCGGAGUAUUUCGCUUCUGCGUUAGCCUGGUGUCCGUGAAAAGGGAGCUGGAGUCGUAUGAGUUGUCCGUACCGAGAUCUGACACAGGUGCCCCUAGGUGAGUAGCCUAAGGCGUCGCGGCAGAAUCCGGGCGAGGGAAUUCGGCAAAUUAGCCCCGUACCUUUGGUAUAAGGGGUGCCAGCUCUGAAGAGAGCUGGUCGCAGUGACUAGGGAGCUCCGACUGUUUAUUAAAAACACAGGUGGCUGCUAGUCCGUAAGGAUGUGUAUAGCCGCUGAAUCCUGCCCAGUGGCAGUAUCUGAAACCAGGUUUCAAUCUGACGAAGGACUGCUAAACGGCGGGGGUAACNAUGACCCUCUUAAGGUAGCGUAAUACCUUGUCGCUUAAUUGGCGACUUGCACGAACGGCCUAACGAGAGCUCUACUGUCCCCGCCCGGAGCCCGAUGAAAUUGACUUACUGGCGCACAGUCCAGUACGUCCCAGCCGCAAGCGAAGACCCCGUGGAGCUUUACUGCAACCUGCCGUUGUGGCACGAGUUGUUAUGUGUAGCGUAGACGGGAGACAUUACACAGGUGCGAGCGCUAGCUCGUCGCCGAGUCACCGAUGAAACACCGUCCUUUUCGAUUCGUCCCACUCACCUCUUAGGAGGAACCCCGGUAGGCGGGCAGUUUGGGUGGGGCGCCACUCCCUCGAAAAAAUAACAAGGGAGCCCAAAGGUCAGCUUAGGUAGGUCAGGAAUCUACCGUUAAGUGCAAGGGCAAAAGCUGGCUUGACGUGGUUUGGCAACACAACAAACCACGAUGUGAAAGCAGGGCCUAGCGAACCAACCAGCGCCGUUAGUAGGUGCGGUUGAUAACAGAAAAGUUACCCCGGGGAUAACUGAGUUGUCUGGAGCAAGAGCCCACAUCGACCUCCAGGCUUGCUACUUCGANGUCGUCUCUUCCUAUCCUGGGUGUGCAGAAGCACCCAAGGGUGGGGUUGUUCGCCCAUUAAAAGGGAUCGUGAGAUGGGUUUAGACCGUCGUGAGACAGGUUUGUUGCUAUGUGCUGGGACUGUCCAAUGCCUGAGGGGAAGGAUCCUCUAGUACGAGAGGAACGAGGGUUCGCAGCCACUAGUUUACCAGUUGUCUGACAAGGCACCGCUGGGCAGCCACGCUGUAAGGGAUAAGAGCUGAAAGCAUCUAAGCUCGAAACCCGCCUCAAAACGAGGCAUUUUGACACUUAUAGAAGAUAAGAUUGAUAGGACCGGGGUGUAAGCACCGAGAGCUUUAGUGCUGCUAGAAACGUUACUUCGGUAACGCGGAAAGUAGUACUUCGAGGUGU
rnacentral:rRNA from 1 species